rnacentral:sRNA from 1 species
AUGGUUGUCAUAAAUUUUUAUGUUCAUUUUAGACAUGUCCUUUAGCUUACAAUGCAAGAGUUCAGUGUGGGAAAAUAUUAAUAGAAGUGGAAGAUUAUGAGCUGGCAACUGAUGUACUGGAAACAUUGUUAGACGAAGAUGAUGAAGUACCUGAUGUUUGGUAUUUAAUUGGAUGGGCAAACUAUCUACAAGGCCAAGAAUUUUACAGUAAUGCUAGACAUUACUUGCUUAAGGGAAAAGAGGUAUAUGCUAAAGUGAAAUAUGAUGAUGCUGGCUUACUAACUCACAUUGAAGAGCUUUUGACUGAGCUAGGUCCAGAGCCUGAAGAAAGUGAGAGUGUAGAGCCUUUGGAAAUAGAAAGUUCUGAAGAAGAGGAUAUGGAUCAUUAAUAAUAAAAUUUUAAAUACAUAAUUUACCUUAGAGUUCAA